UACGUAGGGGGCAAGCGUUGUCCGGAUUUAUUGGGCGUAAAGAGUGUGUAGGAGGUUAGGGAGGAGAGGGGGGAAAACUCGAGGCUCAACCUCGAGACGCCGAUGGAAACCCCCUGACUAGAGUCCGGAAGAGGAGAGUGGAAUUCCUGGUGUAGCGGUGAAAUGCGCAGAUAUCAGGAAGAACACCGAUGGCGAAGGCAGCUCGCUGGGACGGUACUGACGCUGAGGCGCGAAAGCGUGUGGAGCAAACAGG
rnacentral:rRNA from 1 species